GAUGAAGAACGUAGCGAAAUGCGAUAAGUAAUGUGAAUUGCAGAAUUCAGUGAACCAUCGAAUCUUUGAACGCACAUUGCGCCCGGCAGUAAUCUGCCGGGCAUGCCUGUCCGAGCGUCAUUUCUCCCCUCGAGCGCAGCUUUCCCCCCCGGGGGAGGGCCGCGCCCGGUGUUGGGGCGCUACGGAGGAGCCCAGCGCUCCCCCGUAGGCCCCGAAAUGUAGUGGCGGUCCCGCCGCGGCGCCCCCUGCGUAGUAGUUUUACAACUCGCAUCGGGUCCCGGCGGAGGCCAGCCGUCAACCCCCCAACUUCAAUAGUUUGACCUCGGAUCAGGUAGGGUUACCCGCUGAACUUAAGCAUAUCAAUAAGCGGAGGA
rnacentral:misc_RNA from 1 species